CGCGUAGGCGGUUUGCUAAGUUGGAUGUGAAAACUCUGGGCUUAACCCAGAGCCUGCAUCCAAAACUGGCAAACUUGAGUACUGGAGGGGAAAGCGGAAUUCCUGGUGUAGCGGUGAAAUGCGUAGAUAUCAGGAGGAACACCGGUGGCGAAGGCGGCUUUCUGGACAGUAACUGACGCUGAGGCGCGAAAGCUAGGGGAAGCAAACA
rnacentral:rRNA from 1 species